UACGUAGGGCGCAAGCGUUGUCCGGAAUUAUUGGGCGUAAAGAGCUCGUAGGCGGCUUGUCGCGUCUGUUGUGAAAGCCCGGGGCUUAACCCCGGGUCUGCAGUGGAUACGGGCAGGCUAGAGGCAGGUAGGGGAGAACGGAAUUCCCGGUGUAGCGGUGAAAUGCGCAGAUAUCGGGAGGAACACCAGUGGCGAAGGCGGCUCACUGGCCCGAUACUGACGCUGAGGCACGAAAGCGUGGGGAGCAAACAGG
rnacentral:rRNA from 1 species